AAAAAAGAUUAAGUACAAAAUUUAAACUAAUUUUUUUCAUGUAUGAAGAUACAUCCAACCCCUAACUCAAAUCUUAAAUCUAAACCUUGUCUUAUUAAAACACCUAUAACUCACUUAACAUUAUUCUAAUCUAAGAAAAAUUAAUCAUGUUGAGCUUAAUUCAAGCUACAAACUUCAAAUUAUUAAAGUCCAUAAACAAAAUCUUGAAAUAAUCAGAUCCAAAUCAACAAGAAAAAAAAUUGGCUACUUGUUGUAGUCAUUGCCUUUAAAACCUCCAUCUACGAAUUAGUUUGGAUUUCUUUUUUCAGAGGUCUUUUUCUUGUGUGCUAAGGCUUAUUGAAAAGUUAAAACUGAGCUCUAGCUUUUUUAAAAUUCUCAAAAUAAAAAAAAAUAAAAAAAAUCCAGUAAAUGGCAUAAAAAGUACCAAAUGAAUCUUAAAUUUUGCUGCCUAAAAACUCAAGUAACCUCCUUCUUACAAAUUCAUAAGAAUCUUUCAUAUUACAGCUCUGCUUAUUGCAUGAAAUAGCUUAUUGAAAAGCCAACAACAAGAUCCGGAUUUUCCUAAAAUUUUAAAAUAAAAAGAUGAAAAUUCAGGAAAUGCAAUAAAAAAACCUCAAACCAAUCUUGAAUCUUACCACUCAAAAACUUUAGUAACUCCCUUCUCACAAAUUUGUUUGGAUCUCUUUCUUUAUAGCUCUAUUUUUUGCAUGCUAUAGCUUGUUGGAAAGCUAACAAUGUGAUCUAAUUUCUUUCAAAAUUUAUAAAAAAAAAAGAUGAAAAUUCCAUAAGUAGCUUUCAAAAUUACAAAAUAAGCUUAAAUCUUAUCCUUUUCCAAAAUUUCCAAUGACCCUUCUUUU
rnacentral:lncRNA from 1 species